rnacentral:rRNA from 1 species
GAAUCCAGACCCUACGGGGUGCAGCAGGCGCGAAAACUUCACACUGCGGGAAACCGCGAUGAGGGAAUUCCAAGUGUCUGGGGUAAGACCCAGUCUUUUCUUGACUCUUAAUAGGUCUUGGAAUAAGGGGGGGGUAAGACCGGUGCCAGCCGCCGCGGUAAUACCGGCCCCCCAAGUGGUCGUCACUUUUAUUGGGCCUAAAACGUCCGUAGCCGGUUUAGUAAACCCGUGGGUAAAUCAACCAGCUUAACUGGUUGAAUUCUGCGGAGACUGCUAGACUAGGGACCGGGAGAGGUACGAGGUACUCUUGGGGUAGGGGUAAAAUCCUGUCAUCCCAGGGGGACCACUUGUUGCGAAGGCGUCGUACUAGAACGGAUCCGACGGUCAGGGACGAAGCCUAGGGGCACGAACCGGAUUAGAUACCCGGGUAGUCCUAGGUGCAAACGCUGUGGACUUGGUGUUGGGGAUUCCAUGAGGGUUUCCAGUGCCGAAGCGAAGGUGUUAAGUCCACUGCCUGGGGAGUACGGUCGCAAGGCUGAAACUUAAAGGAAUUGGCGGGGGAGCACUGCAACGAGAGGAGCGUGCGGUUUAAUUGGAUUCAACGCCGGAAAACUCACCAGGGCCGACGGACAAAUGAAGGUCAAGUUGACGACUUUACCGGAUUGUUCGAGAGGUGGUGCAUGGCCGUCGUCAGUUCGUACCGUAAGGCGUUCUGUUAAGUCAGAUAACGAACGAGACCCCCAUCCCUAUUUGCUACCCUUAUCGCAAGAUUUGGGGCACUAUAGGGAGACCGCUGGUGUGAAACCAGAGGAAGGUGGGGGCAACGGUAGGUCAGUAUGCCCCGAAUGUCCUGGGCUACACGCGCGCUACAAAGGACGGGACAAUGGGACGCAACAUCGAGAGAUGAAGCUAUCCUGAAACCCGUUCGUAGUACGGAUUGAGGGCUGUAACUCGCCCUCAUGAAGCUGGAUUUCGUAGUAAUCGCGUCUCAAAAUGGCGCGGUGAAU